rfam:Hordeum vulgare subsp. vulgare, WGS project CAJW01000000 data, contig: morex_contig_369324
AUUAUACUCCGUUCGUCCGGAAUUACUUGUCGCACAAAUGUAUAAAAAUGAAUGUAUCUAGAACUAAAAUACAUCUAGAUACAUUUAUUCAUAUGACAAGUAUUUUCCGGACGGAGGGAGUAGUUG